rnacentral:rRNA from 1 species
AAUGAACGCUGGCGGCAGGCCUAACACAUGCAAGUCGAACGGGUCCUUCGGGACUAGUGGCGGACGGGUGAGUAACGCGUGGGAACAUACCCAAAGGUACGGAAUAGCCUCGGGAAACUGGGAGUAAUACCGUAUGUGGUCGAGAGACGAAAGAUUUAUCGCCUUUGGAUUGGCCCGCGUUGGAUUAGGUAGCUGGUGGGGUAAUGGCCUACCAAGCCGACGAUCCAUAGCUGGUUUGAGAGGAUGAUCAGCCACACUGGGACUGAGACACGGCCCAGACUCCUACGGGAGGCAGCAGUGGGGAAUCUUAGACAAUGGGGGAAACCCUGAUCUAGCCAUGCCGCGUGAUCGAUGAAGGCCUUAGGGUUGUAAAGAUCUUUCAGAUGGGAAGAUAAUGACGGUACCAUCAGAAGAAGCCCCGGCUAACUCCGUGCCAGCCGCCGCAGUAACAC